UAUGGCCACAUCAUGUUGAAACAUUGGUUACCAUAUGAUCACUGAAGUUAAGCAAUGUCAAGCUUUGUCAGUAUCUAGAUGUGUGACUUCUUGGGAAUACCAGGGGCUGUAAG